CAAAUACUCCCUCCGUCCGGAAAUACUUUCAUCAAAAUGGAUAAAAGGAAAUGUAUCUAGACGUAUUUUAGUUUUAGAUACAUCUAUUUUUAUCCAUUUUGAUGACAAGUAUUUUCGGACGGAGGGAGUAGAAA
rnacentral:pre_miRNA from 1 species